UGGGGAAUUUUGGACAAUGGGCGCAAGCCUGAUCCAGCCAUGCCGCGUGAGUGAAGAAGGCCUUCGGGUUGUAAAGCUCUUUCGGCGGGGACGAAACGGUUCGUGACAACACCACGGACUAAUGACGGUACCCGCAUAAGAAGCACCGGCUAACUACGUGCCAGCAGCCGCGGUAAUACGUAGGGUGCAGGCGUUAAUCGGAAUUACUGGGCGUAAAGCGUGCGCAGGCGGCUUUGCAAGACAGAUGUGAAAUCCCCGGGCUCAACCUGGGAACUGCAUUUGUGACUGCAAGGCUGGAGUGCGGCAGAGGGGGAUGGAAUUCCGCGUGUAGCAGUGAAAUGCGUAGAUAUGCGGAGGAACACCGAUGGCGAAGGCAAUCCCCUGGGCCUGCACUGACGCUCAUGCACGAAAGCGUGGGGAGCAAACAGGAUUAGAUACCCAAGUAGUCCCUGAGCGGGCUGGCAAGGCGCAU
rnacentral:rRNA from 1 species